rnacentral:rRNA from 1 species
AGUGGAUGGGGAGCAACCUAGUUGUGCGUGUGUAAAGGUAGUGCCAAGAAAAGCGAUGAUCAUGUUGAAAAUCAAUUCCCGGUACCCGAAACCGACACAGGUGGGCAAGUAGAGAAUACUAAGGGGCGCGAGGUAACUCUCUCCAAGGAACUCGGCAAAAUGACCCCGUAACUUAGGGAGAAGGGGUGCCACCGAGAGGUGGUCGCAGUGAAGAGGCCCAGGCGACUGUUUAGCAAAAACAUAGGUCUCUGCAAACUCGAAAGAGGAGGUAUAGGGGCUGACGCCUGCCCAGUGCCGGAAGGUUAAAGAAGUUGGUCAGUUUUAGGAUGAAGCUAGCGACUGAAGCCCCGGUGAACGGCGGCCGUAACUAUAACGGUCCUAAGGUAGCGAAAUUCCUUGUCGGGUAAGUUCCGACCCGCACGAAAGGCGUAACGAUCUGGGCGCUGUCUCGGAGAGAGGCUCGGCGAAAUAGGAUUGUCUGUGAAGAUACGGACUACCUGCAUUUGGACAGAAAGACCCUAUGAAGCUUUACUAUAGCUUGGAAUUGUGUUCGGGCUUCCUGUGCGCAGGAUAGGUGGGAGGCGAAGAAGGUAUUCUUGUGGGGAUACUGGAGCCAACGGUGAGAUACCACUCUCAGGAGGCUAGAAUUCUAACUUAAUUAAGGACAGUUUCAGGUGGGUAGUUUGACUGGGGCGGUCGCCUCCAAAAAGGUAACGGAGGCGUACAAAGGUUCCCUCAGACUGGUUGGAAAUCAGUCGCAGAGUGCAAAGGCAGAAGGGAGCUUGACUGCGAGAAGUACAGUUCGAGCAGGGUGGAAACACGGUCUUAGUGAUCCGACGGUGCUGUGUGGAAGGGCCGUCGCUCAACGGAUAAAAGUUACUCUAAGGAUAACAGGCUGAUCUCCCCCAAGAGUUCACAUCGACGGGGAGGUUUGGCACCUCGAUGUCGGCUCAUCGCAACCUGGGGCGGAAGUACGUCCCAAGGGUUGGGCUGUUCGCCCAUUAAAGCGGUACGUGGGCUGGGUUCAGAACGUCGUGAGACAGUUCGGUCCAUAUCCGAUGUAGGCGUGAGAAUAUUGAGAGGAGCCUUCCUUAGUACAGAGGACCGGGAAGGACGCACCGCUGGUGUACCUGUUAUGAUGCCAAUUGUAAACGCAGGGUAGCCAAGUGCGGAGAGGAUAACCGCUGAAAGCGUCUAAGUGGGAAGCCCACCUCAAGAUGAGUAUUCUGGUGUAAGGUCACGGGAAGACGACCCGUAAAUAGGCACGAGGUGGAAGUGCAGAGAUGUAUGAAGCCGAAGUGUACUAAUAGACCGUCGGCUUGAC